GCGGCUGUGCCUGCUUCUGAGGUCACAGCUUGAAGUCCUUUUAACUUGCUUUCUGCUGCAGGAGAGAGGCAUAUUGUGGUAUAACUGUCGCUGCAUUUAUUCAAACGGACAAUUUGCAAUAAAUAUUAUACCCAGAACAACAGAACACUCCACCAUAUGAGUGCACUGCUGAGGGCAUGUGAUCAUCGACUCACAAAUGACGGGAUAACUGGUGACACCAUAGGACAAAUCACCAGCAGAAAACAAAUGUGUGAGCAAGACAUGAAAGAUGCUUUUAUGCUGGAACAGCAAGAAACCCAUUAAAUGAAAUAAAUUACAUGCUGCCAGGGUGAUGACUCACUGUCCUAUUGAAAAAGGCAAUAUUUUGGGGUGAAGGAAAAGAUAGCGCCGUAUGACACAGAGAGGCUCAAAAUAAUGAAAAACUUUUCUUUCUGACUCGAGUGUGCCUAUUCGGAUCGGAAGACAGAGACUUCCAACAACACUCAGUAAAGUGCAUAUUAAAAAAAUGUGUUAAAAUAUUGCUACUUAGAAUAUCCUCUCUAGAGUGAAUGUCCUCUUCUAGGAUAUAUUACAAGCAGCAAUAAUCUCUAACAAAGACCAAAGCCCCAAUCAGAGACAUUCCUUAUUACCUAUUGUCACCAUCCUAUCCUUAUUUUAAGGAAUUAAAGUUAAAUAUCAGUUUGUUUAUGGCAAAUGCUUUGGAAUACAGUUAUAGAGUGGUCCAUUCAUUCCUUCAUUUAUUAGUUAAAUAUAUAUCGAAUGACUUCCAUGUAUGAGGCAUUAGACACUUAGUGAACAGGAGACAUGUCCCGUGGCCUGAUGGGCUAUGGCCCAGUAGAAUAAUAAGGUAAUAUUUAUUGAAUACUUUUGUAGUGAACAUUUCACAUGCACAAUCUUAUGCAACCCUUCAGUAGCCCUAUGAAUUAGGCAUUCUUUCCAAAUUUUGUACAUGAGGAAAAUUUGAGUCAGAGGUUGAG
rnacentral:lncRNA from 1 species